rnacentral:rRNA from 1 species
AGCGAACGCUGGCGGCAGGCCUGACACAUGCAAGUCGAACGAGGUCUUCGGACCUAGUGGCGGACGGGUGAGUAACACGUGGGAACGUGCCCUUUGGUACGGAAUAACCCCGGGAAACUUGAGCUAAUACCGUAUGUGCCCUUCGGGGGAAAGAUUUAUCGCCAUUGGAGCGGCCCGCGUCUGAUUAGCUAGUUGGUGAGGUAACGGCUCACCAAGGCGUCGAUCAGUAGCUGGUCUGAGAGGAUGACCAGCCACAUUGGGACUGAGACACGGCCCAAACUCCUACGGGAGGCAGCAGUGGGGAAUCUUGCGCAAUGGGCGAAAGCCUGACGCAGCCAUGCCGCGUGGAUGAUGAAGGUCUUAGGAUUGUAAAAUCCUUUCACCGGUGAAGAUAAUGACUGUAGCCGGAGAAGAAGCCCCGGCUAACUUCGUGCCAGCAGCCGCAGUAA